ACUAACAAGGAUUCCCCUAGUAACUGCGAGUGAAGCGGGAAAAGCUCAAAUUUAAAAUCUGAGGGUCUUUAUGGCCUUCCGAGUUGUAAUCUAGAGAAGUGCUAUCCGCGCUGGACCGUGUACAAGUCUCCUGGAACGGAGCGUCAUAGAGGGUGAGAAUCCCGUCUUUGACACGGACUACCAGGGCUUAUGUGAUACGCUCUCAAAGAGUCGAGUUGUUUGGGAAUGCAGCUCUAAAUGGGUGGUAAAUUCCAUCUAAAGCUAAAUAUUGGCGAGAGACCGAUAGCGAACAAGUACCGUGAGGGAAAGAUGAAAAGAACUUUGGAAAGAGAGUUAAAAAGUACGUGAAAUUGUUGAAAGGGAAACGCUUGAAGUCAGUCGCAUUGGCCAGGGAUCAACCUUGCUUUUGCUUGGUGUAUUUUCUGGCUAAUGGGUCAGCAUCAAUUUUGAUCGGUGGAAAAAGAUCAAGGGAAUGUGGCAUCUUCGGAUGUGUUAUAGCCCUUGGUUGUAUACAUCGAUUGGGAUUGAGGAACUCAGCACGCCGCAAGGCCGGGUUUUUAACCACGUACGUGUUUAGGAUGCUGGCAUAAUGGCUUUAAUCGACCCGUCUUGAAACACGGACCAAGGAGUCUAACAUGCACGCGAGUGUUUGGGUGGAAAACCCGAGCGCGUAAUGAAAGUGAAAAUUGAGAUCCCUGUCGUGGGGAGCAUCGAUGCCCGGACCAGAUCUUUUGUGACGGUUCCGCGGUUGAGCGUGUAUGCUGGGACCCGAAAGAUGGUGAACUAUGCCUGAAUAGGGUGAAGCCAGAGGAAACUCUGGUGGAGGCUCGUAGCGAUUCUGACGUGCAAAUCGAUCGUCAAAUUUGGGUAUAGGGGCGAAAG
rnacentral:rRNA from 2 species